rnacentral:rRNA from 1 species
AGAGUUUGAUCAUGGCUCAGAACGAACGCUGGCGGCGUGCYUAAUACAUGCAAGUCGAACGAGAAAGCCUAACUAAGCUUGCUUAGGAGGGUGAUUAAAGUGGCGAACGGGUGAGUAACACGUGGGCAAUCUGCCCUCGGGUUGGGGAUAAGCCCUCGAAAGGGGGUCUAAUACCGAAUGAUAUCAUUUUGCGGCAUCGCUUUAUGAUCAAAGGCGGGGUAACCUGCCGCCUGAGGAUGAGCCCGCGCCCCAUUAGCUUGUUGGCGAGGUAACGGCUCACCAAGGCUAUGAUGGGUAGCCGGCCUGAGAGGGUGAACGGCCACACUGGGACUGAGAUACGGCCCAGACUCCUACGGGAGGCAGCAGUAGGGAAUAUUGCGCAAUGGACGAAAGUCUGACGCAGCAACGCCGCGUGGAUGAUGAAGCUCCUUGGAGUGUAAAAUCCUGUCAGUGGGGACGAACCGGUAGGGGAGUAACUGACCCUGCCCUGACGGUACCCACAGAGGAAGUUCCGGCCAACUCCGUGCCAGCAGCCGCGGUAAUACGGGGGGAACGAGCGUUGUUCGGAUUCACUGGGCGUAAAGGGCGUGUAGGUGGAUUUUCAAGUCGAAUGUGAAAACCGGCGGCUUAACUGCCGGCCUGCAUUUGAUACUGUUAAUCUUGAGUACGGAAGAGGGAAGUGGAAUUCCAGGUGUAGCGGUGACAUGCGUAGAUAUCUGGAAGAACACCGGUGGCGAAGGCGGCUUCCUGGUCCGAUACUGACACUAAGGCGCGAAAGCUAGGGGAGCAAACAGGAUUAGAUACCCUGGUAGUCCUAGCCGUAAACGAUGGGCACUAGGUGUUGGGGGUGUCGACCCCCUCAGUGCCGAAGCUAACGCAUUAAGUGCCCCGCCUGGGGAGUACGGUCGCAAGGCUGAAACUCAAAAGAAUUGACGGGGGCCCGCACAAGCGGUGGAGUAUGUGGUUUAAUUCGAGGCAACGCGAAGAACCUUACCUGGGUUUGACAUAUAUUGGACAGCUUCUGAAAGGAAGUCUUCCCUUCGGGGACUGAUAUACAGGUGCUGCAUGGCUGUCGUC